ensembl:snRNA
GUAUUGUAUGAAAGAAGAGAAGGUUAGCACUCCACUUGGCAAGGAUGGAAGAGGCCCUUGGGCCUGACAACAUGCAUAUGGUUAAGGCAUUGUCACCUACUUCAUGACAUCAAACCAUUGUUUUUU